UCCAUCCAUCCAUUUUCUAUGGACCAUUCUCAGUUUUAGUCACUGAUCACGUGACUUGCACGUCCGCGACGUUCAUUGG